AACCUUGUCCGGGUUGAAAAAUACCAGCCACAUUUCUCAUCAGAACAUCCUGAGCACCAUUCAAAAAUUUAUCAGUGAACAUUGACUGUCACAUCUACUUCUCUAUGGCCAUCUAGAGGUAAAAUAGGCUAACAACUCUAUAGCUGUACUGAACAACUACACAAAGAAGAAUUCAGCACCUUGCUCUUGGAGGAAUAGGUAUCAUUCAGAAACCAAUCUUGAGCUUUGCCAGUACAAGAUAAUGUUUAAGAAAGGCAAAGCUAAUGUCAUGACUCAAGAUGGUCAGAAUGCCUGGAAGAACGUGAUUGAGAAAUUUAUUUUGCUUCAUCUGUAAUUAUCCUUCAAAGAUAAUCACCACGUUGCAGUCCUGCCUGAUAUAUGAAGUUCCAAGCUAGUCCUUUGACUCUUGAACUCAUGGUUCCCCAUAUGAGAACCCCAUAAAAGAAGAGAAAGUUGGCAUAAGAUGGAUUGCAACCACGUGUAACUUUCUAGGGGAGACAUGUAAAGGCCUUAAAUGUCUGGCAGAGGACCAAUGUGGUUUUUGGGAAGGGAACGAAAGGGAAUGGUUACAUGUGUAUGGGACACUCCUUCAAGUCUGAUUUUGCCAGCAUUCUGGACUAGAUGUUGAAUCCAGACCUCACCAUGGACUAUAGAAAUAUUAUGGUGUUGAAAACCACAACAAAGUUGGCAUUAUAUGAUAUGCUUUUUUGUACAUAUAAUUGACUUUCCAUCGUCAGUUCAAAUACAUGUAUUGCCCAAAAUGGGAGACAUUGAGUAAGGACUUUCUAUUGACACCAACCAUUGAAACGAUUCAGCAAAGUUUCCUCCUUGCCGCUUUUAAAUCAAUAGAGACUCAAUCAUUGCAGAGGCAUAG
rnacentral:lncRNA from 1 species